rnacentral:lncRNA from 1 species
UUAUGGCUGAGUAGUAUUCUAUUGUAUGUACAUACCACAAUCAAUUUUUCUUUUGUUCUUUUUUUUUUUUUUUUUGAGACAGUCUCGCUGUGUUACUCAAGCUGGAGUGCAGUGGUGUGAUCACAGCUCACUGCACCCUCCACUUCCCGAGCUCGUGUGAUCCACCUCAGCCUCCCAAGUAGCUGGGACCACAGGUGCAUGCCACCACACCUGGCUAAUUAUUUUUCUGUGGAGACAAGAUCUCGUGGUGGAAUUGCUGGAUCCUAUGGUAUUUCUAUGUUUAACUUUUUGAGGAACAACCAAAGUGUUUUCCACAGUGGCUGUACUGUUUUCCAUUCCCACCAACCACGUAUGAGGGUUCCAGUUUCUCUACAUCCUCACCAACACUUGUUACUUUGCAUUUUGUUUUUUGUUUUGUUUUGUUUUUGAGACAGUCUCACUCCUUCACUUCGGCUGGAGUGCAGUAACUGCAAUCUCCAUCUCCCAAGUUCAAGUAAUUCUGCUGCCUCAGCCUCCCAAGUAGCUGGGAUUACAGGCACAUGCCAACACACCCAGCUAAUUUUUGUAAU